rnacentral:rRNA from 1 species
CCUACGGGAGGCAGCAGUGAGGAAUAUUGGUCAAUGGACGAGAGUCUGAACCAGCCAAGUAGCGUGAAGGAUGACUGCCCUCUGGGUUGAAAACUUCUUCUAUAAAGGAAUAAAACGAGGCACGUGUGCCUGUUUGCAUGUACUUUAUGAAUAAGGAUCGGCUAACUCCGUGCCAGCAGCCGCGGUAAUACGGAGGGUCCGAUGGUUAUCCGGAUUUAUUGUGUUUAAAGGGAGCGUAGAGGGGUUGUUAAGUCAGUGGUGAAAGUUAGCGGCUCAACCGUAAAAUUGCAAUUGAUACUGGCAGUCUUGAGUACAGUUGAGGUAGGCGGAAUUCGUGGUGUAGCGGUGAAAUGAUGAGAGAUCACGAAGAACCCCGAUUGCGAAGGCAGCUUACUAAACUGUGACUGACAUUGAUGCUCGAAAGUGUGGGUAUCAAACAGGAUUAGAUACCCGAGUAGUC